rnacentral:rRNA from 1 species
GACGGAGGAUGCAAGUGUUAUCCGGAAUCACUGGGCGUAAAGCGUCUGUAGGUGGUUUAAUAAGUCAACUGUUAAAUCUUGAGGCUCAACCUCAAAAUCGCAGUCGAAACUAUUAGGCUAGAGUAUAGUAGGGGUAAAGGGAAUUUCCAGUGGAGCGGUGAAAUGCGUAGAGAUUAGAAAGAACACCGAUGGCGAAGGCACUUUACUGGGCUAUUACUAACACUCAGAGACGAAAGCUAGGGUAGCAAAUGGG